ACACAUAAAAAGGCGUAUUUUUACAUUAAGUCGUAAAUUAUUUCAAGGCCACGUUCUGUAGCACUUAGGCCUACAGUCACCAAUUGUAAUUUUAAAAUAUGUAUACUGCUGGUCGCAUUUUGUAAUACCAUUUUCUCUUGCUGUCGAAAACUGUGACACUACUUGUCAUAUAUUUGAGCUACAAACCAAUCGGAAUUUUUAAUAACACUUUGUUGCAAUUUGUAGUAAUUCGACUCGGCGUAUAUUGUAAUGACACAUGUCUCGUUUUACACCAAUUUUUGCAGUAACUUGUAAAAUUGCCCACAAAUACUUUCCGUUGGUGUCAUCUUCAUGUCUUGUUUCGUUUUCUCUUCCAAUCCGUUAAUCAAAAACAAAGUUCUACGGGUUUUUUCCAGUCCGGUCCAUUGAUCAUGAUGAAAAAUGUUCAAUCAUCGUAUAAAUGGAAGGGGAGCCAAAUGUGACGAAAGACUAAUUAAAGAUUUUUUUACAAAGCGAAAAAAGCCUGUGGUUUAUUAAAUCAUGUUUGAAACCAUUUACUUUAUUACAAAUAGCGACGACGUGUUACAAAACGCGAAAUUAAUAUAUUAUUGCUCUUUUCAAUGACAGUACGAGUGUUACCUAGUAUGUUUUUGAAUUAUUAUUAUUAUCAUUAUUAUUAUUGUUGUUGUUAUUGUUAUUAUUACUAUUAUUAUUAUUAUCAUUAUUACUAUUAUUAUUUAACUGAGUAUUGCCUACUUUCCAUUGUAACCAGCUGCAAGCCAAGCCAGUCGAAGCUGCUCAGUUGUUAAAGCAAUUGAGUGAUAACAGCAUUGCGUCAGUUUCCAAAUUUGGUAGAAAGGGUUUCCAUAUAUGGUAACUGUGACAGUUACAGUAGCAAUUUGUCAAAAACCAGAUGGCGGACAUUUCUAUUGGCGGUCAGUCACAGGGUGUAGAUGAACAUGAAGUCGACAUUUCAACGCAAUUCUCCGACGAAAGUUCAUAUGUACAUUUACAAAACUACGCAUGUUAAACCAAAAACCCAUGGUGUGUUUGCAACUCGUUUGUAGAUCAGUCGGAUCAUAAGUGAAGCCAGACAGAAAAUCACUCUUCCGCCUGAAAGAGCUCAGUAUGGACUAACAAGUGACAUUUUCCUCUGAAUGCCUAUUGACGUUGUUAAAUGGAAAACGGCUACGGAGCUUCGUUUAUAGACCUGAUGGCUACGAUGGAAUGUAAAUGAAUCAUUAUGGCGAGCAAUGAACUACAUAACUAACAGAAAUCAACCGAGCAGAUAACGCAACGUGAUCAUCAGUUAACAUCCAAAUCACACAGCUGUAAGUCAAACACAAAGUAGGACCAGGCGUAACACUUCCACAACCCAAAGACAAGAGUUAUUAAGCUCACAAACGAACCCCCGUGACCGCGUCAAACUUUAAGAACACUAUUACGUGUUUACUUUCAGUGAUUUGCAUGUCUGUUCAUGUGCUCUCAAAUUGUUCUCCACACUGUCGAAGUACUGCUCAUGAAGUAAGUGUUUGAUUUCUUAGUUUAGUUUUGAGUCUUUGGACAAGCAGUUGACGCUAUAUAUAAUAACAUCAGGAAUUCUGUGCGUUUCUUAAUGCUUUAUCAAAGGGAUGGAAGAGUCCAAGGACUCCAAGGACCACAUAUAUAUACAAUGAUGAACAAUGAGGUUAAACGAAACCUUUGCACACAGUUUACUCCAGCGGAAAAAAUGUCAACUUUGUAGUAUAAGCUAAAACAGAAUAUCUUAAUAUAACAAGACAACUUCUAAAGAAAUGCACUUACAUUAUUAACAGGCGCUAGUGCUUGGCAAAGGUUCCAACGGCUCAAGAUAAUUGCUUGCUGAUAUGAAACAAAAACUUCCAAUUGUCUGCCGCACGACGACAAAACACUGUCAACUUAGCUUAAAAUAACUUUACUUUCAGCUUGAAUGACAAUUAGCAAAAUAAAUUAUGCACAAACCUGUUGCGGGACCAUGAAGAAAGCUGCCAACAAAUCUCUUUAACUAACUUUAAUUUUGACCGACAAUGGGUUAAUUUUGAUAUAUUUAAAUUCUAACUCGGUUCCGAAGCUAAUGGGAAUAAAACAAAAGAAAUCGAAUCGAAGAUCUACUGUAUGAGGGAUGAAUAAUUAAUUUCUUUUGUUUUAUUCCCCUGAACCUCCGAGCCAAGUUCAAAUUUUAAUAUAUCGAAAUUGCCUUGGCUCCCUUAGCAAGAAGAGUCGUUAGUACUGAUGUACAGCUUCACAAACUGAAGCAAGAUGAAUUAAACCCUGUUCAGUGAUUGGCUAACCGAGCGGGUGAGAUGGGGCUAUCUUCCACCAUUCGGGAUUUCGCACUGCCAGUUUCUCGCCAGAAAAAAAAAAAAAAUGAGCACAUGGAGCAAGCUUUUUUCGUUCAAGCUGCAUGCAUAUUAAUCUGCUUCUUCUUGCAUGUUUCUGGACCUCGAUUACGUUUGUCCCCUGAUAUAAAGACUAUAAACGAAAAACUUAAAAAUACUUUUCUAGCAUCCACUUUUCAGCCAUCUUGACCUCACGCUUGCUUAGUAGCCCUACUAAAUACUUGUUAAUCGAGAGUGAGGUCUUUACGGGAAAAUGUUUAACUGAGGUCUUGCUGUAUCCAACUCUCGCUUUCUUCUCGAAAUUUUAUUAAAACUCGUAAUCAAAUUGUUGCAGCUUCGGAAAAAAAA